CAGUCGCCGCGGUAAUACGAAGGUCCCGAGCGUUGUUCGGAAUCACUGGGCGUAAAGGGAGCGUAGGCGGCGUGGCAAGUCAGAUGUGAAAUCCCGGGGCUCAACCCCGGAACUGCAUCCGAUACUGCCAUGCUAGAGGAUUGGAGAGGUAGCUGGAAUUCUUGGUGUAGCAGUGAAAUGCGUGGAGAUCAAGAGGAACACUCGUGGCGAAAGCGAGCUACUGGACAAUAACAGACGCUGAGGCUCGAAGGCCAGGGUAGCGAAAGGGAUUAGAUACCCGAGUAGUCCCUGUCUCUUAUAC
rnacentral:rRNA from 1 species